CGUCAAAUUUAAUAAUAUAAAUGAUUAUAUGAUGAUAAUUAAUUCAACACUUAAAAAUAAUGAAAAAAUUUGUACCUGGCAAUAGGAAAAUAGGUAGUCAAACCUUCUAGCAUAUUGUACUUCUAUGCAUGGGUAAAGGACAGAGACUUAGUGAGACUUUUCCCAGAAAAUUAUCGACGUGAUCGACUCUUUUUAUGGAAAAAGUCUGAUAAAAAAAAUUAAAUUCAUGUUGGUAAUUUUUCCAAAUACUGAAUGGCUGAUUUACUUCUGAAAGAAACGAAAUUCUAAUCAUUUUAUCUAUUACUUAUUAACUAAAAUUUGGUAAUUGAACAACAAAUUUCGAUCAAUAUCAAUUUACUUAACAAAUCAUGGGUAAAGGAUUAUAAAGCGAAUGUAAAUCAAAUUACGAAGAUAUAUCGAAAAACCUGAUAAUCAUUUUCAUCACCUUUUUCGACUUGUUGAGGCUUAAGUAAAAAGUGACUUAAAAAAAAUAUUACAAAUGAUUUCAUAAUAUGCUACAUUAAUUUAUUAUUGCCUAAUGAAUUUUGGUUAUGCCUAAAUUUAUAACUAAAUAGUUUAAUAAAUGAUCAAAAACAUGUACCAUUGUUUACGUCUAAGCUAUAACAUAUAUAUAUACAUAUGUAGUUAAAUUUAGUCACCUAUCAUCAGUAUACAUUUUGACGAAGUGCCAACUUUAAAACAGGCAGGCGGUCUGAAAUGCCAUAUGAGCUAGUCAAUUAAAUACUAAUCUAAAAUUAUGCGUUCCCUUUUUAAAUGGUAAUAAAAUUCUUGAAAAUUGCACAAUAAACAGUAACUAAAAAUUUA